GAUGAACGCUGGCGGCGUGCCUAAUACAUGCCAGUCGAGCGAACGGACGAGAAGCUUGCUUCUCUGAUGUUAGCGGCGGACGGGUGAGUAACACGUGGAUAACCUACCUAUAAGACUGGGAUAACUUCGGGAAACCGGAGCUAAUACCGGAUAAUAUUUAGAACCGCAUGGUUCAAAAGUGAAAGACGGUCUUGCUGUCACUUAUAGAUGGAUCCGCGCUGCAUUAGCUAGUUGGUAAGGUAACGGCUUACCAAGGCAACGAUGCAUAGCCGACCUGAGAGGGUGAUCGGCCACACUGGAACUGAGACACGGUCCAGACUCCUACGGGAGGCAGCAGUAGGGAAUCUUCCGCAAUGGGCGAAAGCCUGACGGAGCAACGCCGCGUGAGUGAUGAAGGUCUUCGGAUCGUAAAACUCUGUUAUUAGGGAAGAACAUAUGUGUAAGUAACUGUGCACAUCUUGACGGUACCUAAUCAGAAAGCCACGGCUAACUACGUG
rnacentral:rRNA from 1 species